UACGAAGGGGGCUAGCGUUGUUCGGAUUUACUGGGCGUAAAGCGCACGUAGGCGGAUCGUUAAGUCGGGGGUGAAAUCCUGGAGCUCAACUCCAGAACUGCCUUCGAUACUGGCGAUCUUGAGUCCGGAAGAGGUGAGUGGAACUCCUAGUGUAGAGGUGGAAUUCGUAGAUAUUAGGAAGAACACCGGUGGCGAAGGCGGCCAUCUGGGACUCAACUGACGCUGAGGCGCGAAAGCGUGGGGAUCAAACAGG
rnacentral:rRNA from 1 species